AAUGAACGUUGGCGGCGUGGAUUAGGCAUGCAAGUUGAGCGCGAACCCGCAAGGGGGAGAGCGGCGAACGGCGUAGUAAUGGAUCGGAACGUACCCUUCGGACGGGGAUAGCUACGGGAAACUGUAGGUAAUACCCGAUAACAUCUGCGGAUCAAAGGUGAGAUUCCGCCGGAGGAGCGGCUGAUUUGAUAUUAGCUAGUUGGUGGGGUAAAGGCCUACCAAGGCGAUGAUGUCUAGGGGGUGUGAGAGCAUGGCCCCCACGACCGGAACUGAGAUACUGUCCGGACACCUACGGGUGGCUGCAGUCGAGAAUCUUCCGCAAUGGACGAAAGUCUGACGGAGCGACGCCGCGUGCGGGAUGAAGGCCCUUGGGUUGUAAACCGCUGUCAGAGGGGAUGAAAUCUUCGGAGGUCCUCCUCCGAAGUUGACAGAGCCUCAAAGGAAGCACGGGCUAAGUACGUGCCAGCAGCCGCGGUAA
rnacentral:rRNA from 1 species